rnacentral:snoRNA from 1 species
GCCCCUGGCGUGGGGUGUCGAGCCGCCGCACAGGCGCCGGUGAACACGCCCCCUCCAAGGGGCGUACA